CCCUUAGAUGUUCUGGGCCGCACGCGCGCUACACUGAUGCAUUCAACGAGUCUAAAACCUGCUCUGAUAGGGGUGGGUAAUCUUUUGAAUGUGCAUCGUGAUUGGGAUAGAUGAUUGCAAUUUUUCAUCUUCAACGAGGAAUGCCUAGUAAACGCAAGUCAUCAGCUUGCAUUGAUUACGUCCCUGCCCUUUGUACUCACCGCCCGUCGCUCCUACCGAUUGAAUGAUCCGAUGAAUAUCAUGGAUUGAGGAUGUAAGCAGGUUCGCCUGUCUUCAUCUUCGAGAAGUGAAGUAAAUCUUAUCAUUUAGAGGAAGGAGAAGUCGUAACA
rnacentral:rRNA from 1 species